UUUUAUUUGUUUAAUCCAGCACACUAACAUAACAGUAUUUCUACAGCAUGCGUACAUAGACCAAUUAUUUUCCUUCGUGUCGUUUCAACCUUUAUCCCUUUUAACCUUAAAACAUAUUUGCAUUCCUUUUUUUUUAAUGAGGAAAAAUGUAGAUGAAAAAGUUAACAUAAGAAAUGAGGAAGCCCUGAGCACACGAGCCCUCGGCUGAGAUAGUGUGUGUGGUGACGUAGACAGGCGAGGUACGGAAUUCCAAACAUUUUUUGCAUGAACUCAACAGGUUAAGAGGUGGAACAAGAGGGAAUUUUCCACUGCCUCUGUGCUGAAAAUAUUGUCCUGCAGCAUGGUGGGCGGACAGGGGAAGCAGAGAGAUGAAGGUCUGAUGAUGAUGCAGGAGCUGGAAGAUCGACUAAAGGAGCACAUUGACAAACUGGAACACAUACGCCUGGCAGCUGCUGACCUCAGAGAAAGCCCGUUUGGGAACAAUGGUGAUCUGAGACAGUCGAUCACUGAGCAUGUGGACUGGCUGGGUCAUCUAAGAGAGCGUGUGGAAGCACUCCAGAUGAACACAUCAGUAUUUGUCCAGAUGAACUCCAAGCCUCGCUUAUGGAGAGGAAAAAAUCAAGGCUUACGCAGCUCCUCCCGCUGGGGGUGGGGACCUCAGACAGAUGAUGCCCAGUCAGAAAUUGGGUGGUCUCCAAUUCGCACACGGCGUAACAGUGAUGCUGCUUCUGAAAUGUCAUGUGCCUGGUGAUGCACCUAGAACCAGAUGUACAAAAAGUGUAAAUUGGUGAAGUUCAGUUUUUCUGAAUCGGUGCAAUUUCAAGAUGCAUUUCUAGGUUAGCUGAUUUCUUAAUCAGCUAAUUAAGCAAGAAAACAUUGCAAUUUUGUCUUUAAACUUCCAAUGAUUGUAGAUCUAUUGUGAUUCUACAGUAUAUUGCCAGUAGUAAAAUCUCAAAUAUUCAUCACAUGCACUUAUGUAUCUAAAAAUAAAGCAUUAAUGGAUUCUCUUA